rnacentral:rRNA from 1 species
GCCAGCAGCCAUAUCACCCUGCAACUCACAACUGGCAGCCCACUGAGGCUCAGCAGGUGUGAGCCUGGUCGGUACCUGGAUGGGAGACCUCCUGGGAAAAACUAUGGUUGCUGCUGGAA